rnacentral:sRNA from 1 species
AUUCUGCCCAUGCGGGGAAGGAUGAGAAGCUUCGACUAAGGUUCGGCUCGAGCGUCAGCGAGAGAGCGUUGCCGCAGGCAACGACCCGAAGGG